GAUGAAGAACGUAGCGAAAUGCGAUAAGUAAUGUGAAUUGCAGAAUUCAGUGAGUCAUCGAAUCUUUGAACGCACAUUGCGCCCGCCAGUAUUCUGGCGGGCAUGCCUGUUCGAGCGUCAUUACAACCCUCAGGCCCCCGGGCCUGGCGUUGGGGAUCGGCGGAAGCCCCCUGCGGGCACAACGCCGUCCCCCAAAUACAGUGGCGGUCCCGCCGCAGCUUCCAUUGCGUAGUAGCUAACACCUCGCAACUGGAGAGCGGCGCGGCCACGCCGUAAAACACCCAACUUCUGAAUGUUGACCUCGAAUCAGGUAGUAAUACCCGCUGAACUUAAGCAUAUCAAUAAGCGGAGGA
rnacentral:misc_RNA from 1 species